AACGAACGCUGGCGGCACGUUUUAAGCAUGCAAGUCGAAUGGCAGCAGGGGCAACUCUGUGAGAAUGGCGAACGGGUGAGUAACACGUAGGUGAUCUGCCUUGAGGAUGGGGAUAGCCUGUGGAAACACAGGGUAAUACCGAAUGAGCUGACGAGACUUUGGUUUUGUUAGUAAAGGUGCUACGGCACCGCCUUGAGAGGAGCCUGCGGCUGAUUAGCUAGUUGGUGGGGUAAGAGCUUACCAAGGCGACGAUCAGUAGCCGGCCUGAAAGGGUGUACGGCCACACUGGAACUGGGACACGGUCCAGACUCCUACGGGAGGCAGCAGCUAAGAAUCUUCCGCAAUGGGCGAAAGCCUGACGGAGCGAUGCCGCGUGAUCGAUGAAGGUCGAGAGAUUGUAAAGAUCUUUUCUACAUGAGGAAUAAGUCUGGGAGGGAAUGCCCGGAUGAUGACGUUAGUGUAGGAAUAAGCCCCGGCUAAUUACGUGCCAGCAGCCGCCGUAA
rnacentral:rRNA from 1 species